AGUGAACGCUGGCGGUAGGCCUAACACAUGCAAGUCGAACGGCAGCACAGAGGAGCUUGCUCCUUGGGUGGCGAGUGGCGGACGGGUGAGGAAUACAUCGGAAUCUACUCUGUCGUGGGGGAUAACGUAGGGAAACUUACGCUAAUACCGCAUACGACCUACGGGUGAAAGCAGGGGAUCUUCGGACCUUGCGCGAGUGAAUGAGCCGAUGUCGGAUUAGGUAGUUGGCGGGGUAAAGGCCCACCAAGGCGACGAGCCGUAGCUGGUCUGAGAGGAUGAUCAGCCACACUGUAACUGAGACACGGUCCAGACUCCUACGGGAGGCAGCAGUGGGGAAUAUUGGACAAUGGGCGCAAGCCUGAUCCAGCCAUACCGCGUGGGUGAAGAAGGCCUUCGGGUUGUAAAGCCCUUUUGUUGGGAAAGAAAUCCAUCUGGUUAAUACCCGGGUGGGAUGACGGUACCCAAAGAAUAAGCACCGGCUAACUUCGUGCCAGCAGCCGCCGCAG
rnacentral:rRNA from 1 species